GGAAGGGCUGUCGCUCAGUGGUUAGAGCAUCAGCUUUGCAUGCAGAAGAUGCCAGGUUGAAUCCCUAGCAUCUCCA